rnacentral:tRNA from 1 species
CCCCGGGUAGCGUAGCGGUAUCGCGGCCGGCUGUAGACCGGCAGUGGCGGGCCCGCAAUGGGCCGUGCGCCAAGGUCCCGGGUUCGAAUCCCGGCCCGGGGA